GUCUUCGAGUCGUUGAUUUCACACUGCCGAGAAAAGCCUCUAGAUAGAAAAUAGGUGCCCGUACCGCAAACCGACACAGGUAGUCAAGAUGAGAAUUCUAAGGUGAGCGAGCGAACUCUCGUUAAGGAACUCGGCAAAAUGACCCCGUAACUUCGGGAGAAGGGGUGCUCUUUAGGGUUAACGCCCAGAAGAGCCGCAGUGAAUAGGCCCAAGCGACUGUUUAUCAAAAACACAGGUCUCUGCUAAACCGUAAGGUGAUGUAUAGGGGCUGACGCCUGCCCGGUGCUGGAAGGUUAAGAGGAGUGGUUAGCUUCUGCGAAGCUACGAAUCGAAGCCCCAGUAAACGGCGGCCGUAACUAUAACGGUCCUAAGGUAGCGAAAUUCCUUGUCGGGUAAGUUCCGACCCGCACGAAAGGCGUAACGAUUUGGGCACUGUCUCAACG
rnacentral:rRNA from 1 species